rnacentral:lncRNA from 1 species
GCUUAUCAGCCACUGCCUGCAGAUGACCUGGAUUUUUACCAUCUGCUUCUGAUCUAUGAUAUCCUUCAAAUCCUUUAAAGUUUGAUGCUUUGUAUGGUAGUGAUGCUUGUAGACAUAGAAUCUGUGUAUAUAAUGGGAGAAAUAAGAUUUCAGGUGUGUAUCGAAUCGAUUGUUGUAUUUCGAAACAUAUGUAUUUGAAAUGCAAGGAUAUUAUGGCGUCACUAAGUUCAAAAGUGGAUCUGCGAUGAUCUACACAUCGUCAAACUUUCGACCCCACUUGAAAUAAGUCAAAACUGUAUGGCUCGAUUACUUAACAAACAAAUAAGAGAUUAAAUAAUUAAGUAUGUGUUGUGGCUAUAUAUAGAAAGAUAUUGUUAGCAUUUCAUGUAAUCAAUAAAUUGUGUAAUCCUUUUUCCAUAUGAAAACUCGUCAUGGAGUAUUAUGAAAGGAGAAGAUUUUUAAAUUUUUUAUUUACUAACUUAUUUUUUUAUGGAUCCCACUUGGCCAAAAUUCUGACUAAGCGGUUGUCCACUACGGAUGAAAUAACGUCCAUGAUGAUAAGAGAAUAGCAACAACGAAUCAUUACACAUUGACAUAGGUUGUUAUGUAAGAUUGUUAGUGGGGUUUAGAAGACUUCAGUUUGUAGUAACUAGCAAGAUGAGAUCUAAUCAUGAUGCUUCAUUUUCCCUUAACUAAUCCUACUGGAUACUUGUGGUUGGUAUGGGAGGAGGGUCAAUAGAGUGGCUUCUAAGACAAGAUAACAUCAUUCAAUCUGAUGGGAACAAGUAAAGUUGAUCAAAUUUAUAUGAAAAUUCUGCAGAAUUUAACUACCAUGUACCUUCUUUUCCCUUUUGCCUUCUUUUUACUUCUCGUAACUCUUCACUUCCUCCGUUUGCCUCUCAAACUGCAGCCAAUUCCACAAUGCCACUGCGUAAUCACAUCCAGCUGCUGGUCAAUCUUCUUCAGUUAGUGCGAAGUUGAUUCCGAAACGAAACCAAGCAAUACCAUUUUCGCGAUAGAUAGGCCAGCUGCAUUGGGGUUGUGACAGCAACGAUGGAGGGAUUGCUUACUUUCGUUAUGUUCUUCAGUGUAACAGUUCAUGUCAGCUUAU